rnacentral:rRNA from 1 species
AGCAGUAGCCGCGGUAAAACGGAGGGUGCAAGCGUUAAUCGGAAUUACUGGGCGUAAAGCGCACGCAGGCGGUCUGACAAGUCAGAUGUGAAAUCCCCGGGCUUAACCUGGGAACUGCAUUUGAAACUGUCAGGCUGGAGUCUUGUAGAGGGGGGUAGAAUUCCAGGUGUAGCGGUGAAAUGCGUAGAGAUCUGGAGGAAUACCGGUGGCGAAGGCGGCCCCCUGGACAAAGACUGACGCUCAGGUGCGAAAGCGUGGGGAGCAAACAGGAUUAGAUACCCCGGUAGUCCCUGUCUCUUAUAC